CAGUAGUGUGACUAAUCCUUUAAACUAUAAUGCUUGACUAUUCAUACUAGGGUUGCUGUAGUUUGAUUGCAUAUACACUUCGAUCUUAGCCAUAUGGGUUCUUGCAAUGUAUGUUGGCUACAUUAAAUUUAUUGUAAGAAUAGGAUGUGCACCCAUAUAGGAUCUAUCAUCCUUGGUAGAUAAGAAAGUUAGUCCUAUAUAAUUUAUGAGAUCGAGUUCAGAAGAUCUUGGUCAGGACAUAGUGAAUGAUGGAAAAAAAAUUUAUAGUUUUCAUAAUAGAAACUUGAGUCGAAUAAAUUUGAUAUAUGACAGACGAUAGAAUUUGAUGAGAAAUUCAUAACCUCCAUCUUAUCGAGACUUGUAAUAAAAGGACUAUAUCAUAUAGUAAUUGUACCUAGAGAUUCAUUUAUUUUAUUCUACUGGAAUACCGCUACAUACUGCUAGGCAUAACUAGUGGAUUAUGAGACUUUUGAAACUUAUUUUGAUGAUCAAUAAUUCUAAUAGAGUGAGUUAGAAUUAUUUCAAUCUGUUGAAAGGAGUUUCGAUGAUAUUCAUGAUGAAGAUCACAAUA
rnacentral:lncRNA from 1 species